UGGGUCACAUAUGUAGUAGAAGUGUGAAGUUAUUUUAGAAAUUGGUGCCUUCUAGGCCAAGAAAAGCCAGAAAAUUUGGUUUUUGGCUUAUGUGGAUGAAAAACACCAAAUCCCAGAAUGCAUUGCUUCGCUGCUCUACAAGGCCACUCCCUAGUUAUGCCUACCGGUUCGAGAGGGCAGGAGGGAGGGAGAUUCAACUAGGCUAAAUACAACUUUUACAGACACCAGUAAACGUCUCUGCGACGAUUUAGUUGAUAUAUUAUUAUAAAUACUACCUUGUUUUGUACCGUUGUACCGGGAUGUUCGACCAAAACUGGGAAAGGACAAGCAUUAAGUUUUCAUCAUUUGCCGCAGUGUAAACAAUGGCUGCGGGCUAUCAACCACCCAAAGUUUCGAGAAGACACCGAUGCGGUAAAAUUGAAAAACCUGAGGGUUUGCAGUGAAACACGCUAAAGGACACUGCAAUUCUGUCCAUGUUUACCUUCACAGACACGAUGAACAACGGGGGCCAUCUGGUAUCAAACGCAUUCGUCUACGUUAGAGGUUUCCGGAAGAAGAUGCAGAAGAAGGGGAAAAAAGAACAGCGAAAUCCUCCUUGCAUGGACCAGGUCUUUACUAAAUCAUAUGUGGUUUUCCUGUGCAACCAGUAAGGGAGACAUGAAGAAGGAUUCUGUGGCAUUUCAAGAGCUGUCAUCGCUGGUCCUUGACAAAAGGCUUCUGAGAGACAUGGAAAAGAUGGCCCUGUUCAAACAUACUGUUGAGAAGUUGCGCUUGUACACUUGAUUGUUUUUCCAAAUCCUAAUGAUCAUGUUUUAAUUUGUUAUAUCCCUUCUUUCUUUCUCUUUAUAUAAUUGCACAAAGGGCCACUGGAAGUCUUUCACAGCGCACUUUUGAAAUACUUCCCCAAUGAAGGGUCCUGCACUACAACGGUUUAAUGGCGGUUGGCAACUCGACUAAAAGGUGCAUUACCGCCACCUACUAGACUUGAGUGUGGGCAUUAGAAUGACGUCAAAGGAAACAGGAGAAUAAUAAUAAUAAAUAAAAUAAUAAAAAUAAAUAAAUAAGUAAACCCUAUAAAAUUCUUUCACUUAACCCAGUAUUUUUCAAAAAUAAAAUGUAUUUUCCCAGAUGUUUUCCCUAAUAAAUGCUCAAGUGUUCAUCAAUGUGUGCCUUUAAUUCUACCCUAUCUUCUUCAUAUUUUGUGCAGUCUAACAGUAUAAGCUUUAAUGUCUCUUGUACAUUACAAUCAGUGCAUAAUCCAGUAGGAUGUUUUCCUAUUCUCUACAAUGUUGUGAUUAAACCAGUUUGACCUAUUCUAAGACGUGACACUAACAUCUCUUCCCUUGGGCCCCUGCCCUUUCUCAUGCUUGUGGCUACUUGAUUUUGUAUACUGUAUAAAUGACGUCCUGUAUCUGCUGUGUUCCAAUAUUCCUGCCAUAUUUUAAGUGAAUGUUGCUUUAUGAUGGUUUUGACCUCUGCUCUACUUAUUGGUACGUGCACAUCUACUGUUUCAUGCUUU